GAUGAACGCUAGCGACAGGCCUAACACAUGCAAGUCGAGGGGCAGCGGGGAUGAAGCUUGCUUCAUCUGCCGGCGACCGGCGCACGGGUGAGUAACACGUAUGCAACCUGCCCGCCACAGGGGGAUAAACGCUGGAAACGGCGCCUAAUACCCCAUACUAUCGCUAAGCUGCAUGGCAUGGCGAUGAAAACUCCGGUGGUGGCGGAUGGGCAUGCGGCGCAUUAGCUAGUUGGAGGGGUAACGGCCCACCAAGGCGACGAUGCGUAGGGGUUCGGAGAGGAAGGUCCCCCACACUGGUACUGAGACACGGACCAGACUCCUACGGGAGGCAGCAGUGAGGAAUAUUGGUCAAUGGGCGGGAGCCUGAACCAGCCAAGUCGCGUGAGGGAAGACGGCCCUACGGGUUGUAAACCUCUUUAGUCGGGGAGCAAAAAGGACCACGCGUGGUCCAUUGAGCGUACCCGAAGAAUAAGCAUCGGCUAACUCCGUGCCAGCAGCCGCGGUAAUAC
rnacentral:rRNA from 1 species